UUCAAAGCUUUAGAGUACAUUGCAGGUCCGACACCAAGGUUUUUUCCAUAAAAGUUGGGGGCAAUAGAAUUGGUACAUAACCAAACUGUUGCAAUUAAGGAAUCAGGAUCUGCAUACAGAAGUGUGAGAAGGAAAUUGGUUAAUAAUGUGACAAUGCGUAUCCUGGAUUUGGUAGAACUAAUUAAGGAAAAGGUGUUAGCAAGUGAUGAGUAACUGAAGCUUUUUGUAUCUUUUGAAACAAAUCGGGCUCGACAACUUUUCACGUAAGUCAAAGGAUCUUUCUGUAAAGCAUCGUAAUCAAUUGUGGAAUCUUUGUUCACGCUAUCAGUUGAGAAAAAAGAAGCUUUGCAUUCUUCGCUUGUAACUAAAUUCUCCUUAGGUUUAUCAUUGCUUUCUUUUACAACAUUAAAUGUGUCAGUAUGAUACUCUUCUUCAGGUAUAAUUACAUCUUUAGGAAGCUUUUCCGGAGCAGUAGCUUGGUUCUCAGAAUCAAAAAGCUGUUGAAGCUUUAAUGCAUAAGCAUAAUCGCUGGCGCUUUGAUCGUGAUCGGUGAGCAAUUUGUUUGGUGUAUCUGUAAGCUGUGCUUCUCGUUUUGAAAACAAAUCUUGAAUUGUAAUAAUAUUUCGGCUUUUCUCACCCUUUUUAGACGUAGAUUU